rnacentral:rRNA from 1 species
UACGUAGGGUGCAAGCGUUAAUCGGAAUACUGGGCGUAAAGCGUGCGCAGGCGGUUGUGUAAGUCUGUCGUGAAAUCCCCGGGCGUCAACCUGGGAAUUGCGAUGGAGACUGCACGGCUAGAGUGUGUCAGAGGGGGGUAGAAUUCCGACGUGUAGCAGUGAAAUGCGUAGAUAUGUGGAGGACACCGAUGGCGAAGGCAGCCCCCUGGGAUAACACUGACGCUCAUGG